rnacentral:rRNA from 1 species
CUUCCGUUAGGGGAACCUGCGGAAGGAUCAUUACAGAAUGAAAAGUGCUUAACUGCAUUUUUUCUUACACAUGUGUUUUUCUUUUUUUGAAAACUUUGCUUUGGUAGGCCUUCUAUAUGGGGCCUGCCAGAGAUUAAACUCAACCAAAUUUUAUUUAAUGUCAACCGAUUAUUUAAUAGUCAAAACUUUCAACAACGGAUCUCUUGGUUCUCGCAUCGAUGAAGAACGCAGCGAAAUGCGAUAAGUAAUAUGAAUUGCAGAUAUUCGUGAAUCAUCGAAUCUUUGAACGCACAUUGCGCCCUUUGGUAUUCCAAAGGGCAUGCCUGUUUGAGCGUCAUUUCUCCCUCAAACCCUCGGGUUUGGUGUUGAGCGAUACGCUGGGUUUGCUUGAAAGAAAGGCGGAGUAUAAACUAAUGGAUAGGUUUUUUCCACUCAUUGGUACAAACUCCAAAACUUCUUCCAAAUUCGACCUCAAAUCAGGUAGGACUACCCGCUGAACUUAAGCAUAUCAAUAAGCCGGAGGAAA